GCAGUCGAGCGAACAGACGAGGAGCUUGCUCCUCUGACGUUAGCGGCGGACGGGUGAGUAACACGUGGAUAACCUACCUAUAAGACUGGGAUAACUUCGGGAAACCGGAGCUAAUACCGGAUAAUAUAUUGAACCGCAUGGUUCAAUAGUGAAAGACGGUUUUGCUGUCACUUAUAGAUGGAUCCGCGCCGCAUUAGCUAGUUGGUAAGGUAACGGCUUACCAAGGCAACGAUGCGUAGCCGACCUGAGAGGGUGAUCGGCCACACUGGAACUGAGACACGGUCCAGACUCCUACGGGAGGCAGCAGUAGGGAAUCUUCCGCAAUGGGCGAAAGCCUGACGGAGCAACGCCGCGUGAGUGAUGAAGGUCUUCGGAUCGUAAAACUCUGUUAUUAGGGAAGAACAAAUGUGUAAGUAACUAUGCACGUCUUGACGGUACCUAAUCAGAAAGCCACGGCUAACUACGUGCCAGCAGCCGCGGUAAUACGUAGGUGGCAAGCGUUAUCCGGAAUUAUUGGGCGUAAAGCGCGCGUAGGCGGUUUUUUAAGUCUGAUGUGAAAGCCCACGGCUCAACCGUGGAGGGUCAUUGGAAACUGGAAAACUUGA
rnacentral:rRNA from 1 species